rnacentral:rRNA from 1 species
UGGGGAAUUUUGCACAAUGGGGGAAACCCUGAUGCAGCGACGCCGCGUGAUUUAGAAGGCCUUCGGGUUGUAAAAAUCUUUUCUAUGGGAAGAAAAUGACAUUACCAUAGGAAUAAGGACCGGCUAAUUACGUGCCAGCAGCCGCGGUAAUACGUAAGGUCCGAGCGUUGUCCGGAAUCAUUGGGCGUAAAGGGUACGUAGGCGGGUAAGCAAGUUAGAAGUGAAAUCCUGUAGCUCAACUACAGUAAGCUUUUAAAACUGCUCAUCUUGAGAUAUGGAAGGGAAAGUGGAAUUCCUAGUGUAGCGGUGAAAUGCGCAGAUAUUAGGAGGAAUACCGGUGGCGAAGGCGACUUUCUGGCCAUAAUCUGACGCUGAGGUACGAAAGCGUGGGUAGCAAACAGG